UACGGUAGAAUUACCGGUUCCCGGACCUUGUACACACCGCCGUCAAGCCAUGGAAGCCGGGUGUACCUAAAGCCGGUAACCGCAAGGAGCCGCCUAGGGUAAAACUGGUGACUGGGGCU
rnacentral:rRNA from 1 species